UUUGAAGGGAUCGAAGAGCAUGGACUUGGGUUUGUAUUCCGUGAGAGAAGAAAGAGAUAGCUUUGGAUCAAUUGAAGUUCCCUUGGACAAAUUAUGGGGAGCACAAACUCAGAGAUCGUUGCAGAACUUUGAUAUUGGUGGGCUUUCUGAACGCAUGCCCCAACCCAUCGUUCGUGCCUUUGGCAUCUUGAAGAAAUGUGCUGCCAAGGUGAACAUGGAGUAUGGUCUUGAUCCGAAUGUAGGAGAAGCGAUAAUGCAAGCAGGUGAAGAAGUAGCAGAGGGAAAACUGAACGAACAUUUUCCACUCGUUGUAUGGCAAACUGGAAGUGGCACGCAGAGUAACAUGAAUGCUAACGAGGUUAUUGCAAACCGAGCAGCAGAGAUUCUUGGCCAUAAGCGUGGUGAAAAGUUUGUACACCCAAAUGAUCAUGUCAACAGAUCACAGUCUUCCAAUGAUACAUUCCCAACUGUAAUGCACAUUGCAGCUGCAAUGGAAAUAAACUCAAGACUAAUCCCCAACCUUAAAAUCUUGCACGGUACACUACACUCGAAGUCAAUUGAAUUCGAAGAUAUUGUGAAGAUAGGGCGAACUCAUACUCAAGAUGCAACACCUUUGACUCUUGGUCAAGAGUUUAGUGGGUAUACUACACAAGUGAAGUAUGGUAUUGAGCGAGUAAUUGCCACAUUGCCGCGCAUGUAUCAGCUUGCUCAGGGUGGUACAGCUGUAGGGACCGGAUUGAAUACAAAGAAGGGGUUUGAUGCAAAGAUAGCAGCAGCAGUAGCCGAGGAAACAAAUCUUCCUUUUGUUACGGCAGAAAAUAAGUUUGAGGCCUUGGCUGCUCAUGAUGUUUUUGUUGAAACUAGUGGUGCCCUUAACACUGUUGCGGCUUCACUGAUGAAGAUUGCUAAUGAUAUACGGCUAUUGGGAAGUGGUCCACGCUGUGGUCUUGGUGAACUCAUUCUUCCGGAAAAUGAACCAGGAAGCAGCAUUAUGCCUGGGAAGGUUAACCCUACCCAGUGUGAGGCUUUGACAAUGGUUUGCGCACAGGUAAUGGGAAACCAUGUUGCGAUCACAGUGGGUGGAUCAAACGGUCAUUUUGAGCUCAAUGUGUUCAAGCCAAUGAUUGCCAGUUGUCUCCUUCGUUCUGUAAGACUGCUGGGAGAUUCAGCCGCUUCAUUUGAAAAGCAUUGUGUGAGAGGUAUUCAAGCUAAUAAGGAAAGAAUUUCAAAAUUACUUCAUCAGUUCUUAAUUGCAGUCACUGAUGCUUGUGACAUCCUUGAACCCAAGAAUUGGUUAUGACAAGGCAGCAGCAGUUGCAAAGACAGCCCAUAAAGAUGGAACAACUCUUAAGGAAGCUGCAUUGAAAAUGGGAGUGCUGAGCUCUGAAGAUUUCGACAAACUUGUGGUACCUGAGAAAAUGCUUGGACCAUCCGAUUAACUAGCUCCUAAUGUUUUGUUUUAAUGAUUCCUUGUUCCAUUAAAAUACCUUAUUUUGAAACUGUUAUGUAUGCUUUAAACCAGGCUAAAAGUUGGUAAGAAUAAUUGUAUUGCAUUGUUAUAGGGAUGCGGCUUAAAAGAUAAU